UACGAGUGCCCCAAGCGUUAUCCGGAAUUAUUGGGCGUAAAGGGUGUGUAGGUGGUUUUGUUAGUCUUCUGUUAAAUUCUUCGGCUUAACCGGGGUCUGCAAAGAAACGGCAAACUAGAGGAUGCGAGAGGUGUGCGGAACUCAUGGUGUAGGGGUGAAAUCCGUUGAUAUCAUGGGGAACACCGAAAGCGAAGGCAGCACACUGGCGCACUCCUGACACUGAAACACGAAAGCGUGGGUAGCGAAUGGG
rnacentral:rRNA from 1 species